rnacentral:rRNA from 1 species
CGACGAACGCUGGCGGCAGGCUUAACACAUGCAAGUCGAGCGCCUCGCAAGAGGAGCGGCAGACGGGUGAGUAACGCGUGGGAAUCUACCCAUCUCUACGGAACAACUCCGGGAAACUGGAGCUAAUACCGUAUACGUCCUUCGGGAGAAAGAUUUAUCGGAGAUGGAUGAGCCCGCGUUGGAUUAGCUAGUUGGUGGGGUAAUGGCCUACCAAGGCGACGAUCCAUAGCUGGUCUGAGAGGAUGAUCAGCCACAUUGGGACUGAGACACGGCCCAAACUCCUACGGGAGGCAGCAGUGGGGAAUAUUGGACAAUGGGCGAAAGCCUGAUCCAGCCAUGCCGCGUGAGUGAUGAAGGCCCUAGGGUUGUAAAGCUCUUUCAACGGUGAAGAUAAUGACGGUAACCGUAGAAGAAGCCCCGGCUAACUUCGUGCCAGCAGCCGCGGUAAUACGAAGGGGGCUAGCGUUGUUCGGAAUUACUGGGCGUAAAGCGCACGUAGGCGGAUAUUUAAGUCAGGGGUGAAAUCCCGGGGCUCAACCCCGGAACUGCCUUUGAUACUGGGUAUCUCGAGUCCGAAG